rnacentral:rRNA from 1 species
GGCCACAGCCAUAUCACCCUGCAGCCCAAGAAUGGUUACUAAGCUAAGCAAGGCUGAGCCUGGUCAGUACAUGGAUGGGAGACCACAUGGGAAAACAAAGUUACUGUUGGAA